rnacentral:rRNA from 1 species
GACGAACGCUGGCGGCGUGCUUAACACAUGCAAGUCGAACGGAAAGGCCCUGCUUUUGUGGGGUGCUCGAGUGGCGAACGGGUGAGUAACACGUGAGUAACCUGCCCUUUACUUUGGGAUAACUUCAGGAAACUGGGGCUAAUACCGGAUAGGAGCUCCUGCUGCAUGGUGGGGUUUGGAAAGUUUCGGCGGUUGGGGAUGGACUCGCGGCUUAUCAGCUUGUUGGUGGGGUAGUGGCUUACCAAGGCUUUGACGGGUAGCCGGCCUGAGAGGGUGACCGGCCACAUUGGGACUGAGAGACGGCCCAGAGUCCUACGGGAGGCAGCAGUGGAGAAUAUUGCACAAUGGGCGGAAGCCUGAUGCAGCAACGCCGCGUGCGGGAUGACGGCCUUCGGGUUGUAAACCGCUUUCGCCUGUGACGAAGCGUGAGUGACGGUAAUGGGUAAAGAAGCACCGGCUAACUACGUG